GAUGAACGCUGGCGGCGUGCCUAAUACAUGCAAGUCGAGCGAACUGAUUAGAAGCUUGCUUCUAUGACGUUGGCGGCGGACGGGUGAGUAACACGUGGGCAACCUGCCUGUAAGACUGGGAUAACUUCGGGAAACCGAAGCUAAUACCGGAUAGGAUCUUCUCCUUCAUGGGGGAUGAUUGAAAGAUGGUUUCGGCUAUCACUUACAGAUGGGCCCGCGGUGCAUUAGCUAGUUGGUGAGGUAACGGCUCACCAAGGCAACGAUGCAUAGCCGACCUGAGAGGGUGAUCGGCCACACUGGGACUGAGACACGGCCCAGACUCCUACGGGAGGCAGCAGUAGGGAAUCUUCCGCAAUGGACGAAAGUCUGACGGAGCAACGCCGCGUGAGUGAUGAAGGCUUUCAGGUCGUAAAACUCUGUUGUUAGGGAAGAACAAGUACGAGAGUAACUGCUCGUACCUUGACGGUACCUAACCAGAAAGCCACGGCUAACUACGUGCCAGCCGCCGCCGUAAAAC
rnacentral:rRNA from 1 species